AUUCCAGCUCCAAUAGCGUAUAUUAAAGUUGUUGCAGUUAAAAAGCUCGUAGUUGGGUUUCUGGAUCUUGACGGCGGUUCACCUUGUGUGAUACUUGCUGUUGGGGUCCAUCCUCCCGAGGACGCGUCGUGUCCUUCAUUGGAUGCGGCGUGGACUCGGGACUUUUACUUUGAAAAAAUUAGAGUGUUCAAAGCAGGCUUACGCUUGAAUACUUCAGCAUGGAAUAAUGGAAUAGGACCUCGGUCUUAUUUUGUUGGUUUCUAAGACCGAAGUAAUGAUUAAAAGGGACAGUUGGGGGCAUUAGUAUUUCAUUGUCAGAGGUGAAAUUCUUAGAUUUAUGAAAGACUAACUACUGCGAAAGCAUUUGCCAAGGAUGUUUUCAUCA
rnacentral:rRNA from 1 species